rnacentral:rRNA from 1 species
AACAGGAUUAGAUACCCUGGUAGUCCACGCCGUAAACGAUGUCGACUUGGAGGUUGUUCCCUUGAGGAGUGGCUUCCGGAGCUAACGCGUUAAGUCGACCGCCUGGGGAGUACGGCCGCAAGGUUAAAACUCAAAUGAAUUGAUGGGGGCCCGCACAAGCGGUGGAGCAUGUGGUUUAAUUCGAUGCAACGCGAAGAACCUUACCUACUCUUGACAUCCACGGAAUUUGGCAGAGAUGCCUUAGUGCCUUCGGGAACCGUGAGACAGGUGCUGCAUGGCUGUCGUCAGCUCGUGUUGUGAAAUGUUGGGUUAAGUCCCGCAACGAGCGCAACCCUUAUCCUUUGUUGCCAGCGAUUCGGUCGGGAACUCAAAGGAGACUGCCGGUGAUAAACCGGAGGAAGGUGGGGAUGACGUCAGGUCAUCAUGGCCCUUACGAGUAGGGCUACACACGUGCUACAAUGGCGCAUACAAAGAGAAGCGACCUCGCGAGAGCAAGCGGACCUCACAAAGUGCGUCGUAGUCCGGAUCGGAGUCUGCAACUCGACUCCGUGAAGUCGGAAUCGCUAGUAAUCGUGGAUCAGAAUGCCACGGUGAAUACGUUCCCGGGCCUUGUACACACCGCCCGUCACACCAUGGGAGUGGGUUGCAAAAGAAGUAGGUAGCUUAACCUUCGGGAGGGCGCUUACCACUUUGUGAUUCAUGACUGGGGUGAAGUCGUAACAAGGUAACC